ensembl:lncRNA APRG1 APRG1 tumor suppressor candidate
GGCUGAAUCAGAGGGGAGGCCAAGAGUUUGUGAGUGGAGCACCAGAUGAGUCUGAUAGAAACUUUCAGACCCCUGUAGGUGGGGAGCUAGACUUGAGCUUCUUACAUAAACCCAGGAGGCACUGAAGACUGGUCCAUCCAUUAAACCAGAAGUAAAAAAAACAAAAACCAAAGACCAAAACCCUCUGCUAUCCAGUCUGGGAAAGCAGAAGAAGCUGCACUUUGCCCCGGUCAGUGGAUAGAAGAAGAGUUGCCUGUGAGCAAUUCGAGGCUGAGCCUGAACUGUGUGCGUGUGUGAAGUUCAGAUUCACACCACGUGAGUGAUGCAGGAACAUAAAGUCAUGCAGGAACUCCAGGCAAGGAGUGGAACAUAAACACUGCCCUGAAGCCCUCAGAAUCCCAGCAUAAGCUGAUGAGAAGCUAAAAGAUGCCUGCAUAUCCCAGGGUGCUGGAACUUCCAUGGAGAAUCACCCUGCUGAAGACGAGCUAGCGGGAAAGAUUCCAAGCCAUGAGAAGAAAUGAAUUCGUGAGAGGGAGCAGCCACAGACACACAAAUAAGAUUGCAUCCCAAGAAGGAGAGAUGAUAAAACAAUCUGGAAGAAACCUUAACAUAGGUACACAGAAGAAAGUGCUGGUGUCAUGAGAGCCAAGAGGAGGAGCACCUAACUGAUCAUUGAGAGAGUGACACCUGGUCUUAGGCUUAGAAGAGGAGUAGAAGAGAGCCAGUGAAGUCAGGGAAGGCUUCCAAGGCAAAAGGACCAGCAAAAGGGGAGAAAGGGAUGAGGAUGUUGGAUAAGCAGCUCAGCAUGUUCCCCAACAUGUAAGGGAAUCAGGUCGAGUUCUACACUCUCCUUCUUGGUACACAUCCUCAGAAUGCAGGAAGUGCCUGUGCUUGCUGUGAGUCUUUGUGGACAGAGGCAGGAUCAUGCUGGCUAGAAUCUAGUGGACAAGGGCAGCACAUUCCCCCUGUUCCCAGGUGGGUCCAGAGAUGUCGCCUGGGAGCCAGGGCCUGGAGUUCUGUUACUGUGGCUGAGCUUGCACCCAAGCUACAAGAUGACAUCCUACUCUUCCCUCACCUUUCUACAAGUAGAGGAGUCUCUUCUCAUGGCCACCAUUGUCCCAGGAUGUGAGGUCUGGAACAGCUGCAGCCAUUUUGCCACCAUGGGAAACCUGGGACAUCUGAACUGACUCCAUGAAGCCUGAAGAGAAAGCUAAUAAGAAGGCAGAGAGAAGAGGAAGAGUCUUGGUCUUUGGAAAUAUCUUUUGGAGCUGCUGGAUCAAGUAUCACUUGAAGGUGUCUCUUCUCACGUGGAAUCACAGCAUUGGAUGGACUGAAAAGAGGAAGAGGCUGCAAUGGAGCAGCACACCUGCUCAUGAAAUUUGCCUGCCUUCUAAUCAGUGCGUGGAGACUGCAAGAGUGUACUUCUACUUAUUAAAAAAAGUUGACUGUAGAACAGCCUCAGGCAGGUCCUCUAGGAGGUGUUCCAGAAGAAGACAUUGUUAUCAUCAGAGAUGACAGCUCCAUAUGCGUUACUGCUCUGAAGACUAUCAGUGGGACAAGAUGUGGAGGUGGAAGACUGAUAUUGAUGGCCCUGAGCCUGUGUCGGCC